UGUGCGCGAGUCAUGGGUCUUGAAUAAGCCCGGCGGCGAAAUGAAAGUAUAGGCCGGCGGAGGUCGGCCGCAUUCGGGAUCCCCGUUCCCUCGCGGGCGGGGCGCACCGGAGACCCGCCGCGUUCCACUCGUGGAUGUGGCGGAGUUUGAGCGCACACGUUAUGACCCGAAAGAUGGUGAUCUAUGCCCGGACAGGACGAAGCCAGAGGAAACUCUGGUGGAGGUCCGUAGCGGUUCUGACGUGCAAAUCGAUCGUCAGAUCUGGGUCUAGGGGCGAAAGACUAAUCGAACCAUCUA
rnacentral:rRNA from 1 species